rnacentral:rRNA from 1 species
GUGGGGAAUUUUGGACAAUGGGCGAAAGCCUGAUCCAGCCAUGCCGCGUGCAGGAUGAAGGCCUUCGGGUUGUAAACUGCUUUUGUACGGAACGAAAAGACUCCUUCUAAUAAAGGGGGUCCAUGACGGUACCGUAAGAAUAAGCACCGGCUAACUACGUGCCAGCAGCCGCGGUAAUACGUAGGGUGCAAGCGUUAAUCGGAAUUACUGGGCGUAAAGCGUGCGCAGGCGGUUAUAUAAGACAGAUGUGAAAUCCCCGGGCUAAACCUGGGAACUGCAUUUGUGACUGUAUAGCUAGAGUACGGUAGAGGGGGAUGGAAUUCCGCGUGUAGCAGUGAAAUGCGUAGAUAUGCGGAGGAACACCGAUGGCGAAGGCAAUCCCCUGGACCUGUACUGACGCUCAUGCACGAAAGCGUGGGGAGCAAACAGGAUUAGAUACCCUUGUAGUCC